GGAUUGAUACUAAGCCAUGCGAGUCAUUGUAGCAAUACAAGGCAGACGGCUCAGUAACGCGUAGUCAACCUAACCUAUGGACGGGAAUAACCUCGGGAAACUGAGAAUAAUGCCCGAUAGAACACUAUACCUGGAAUGGUUUGUGUUCCAAAUGAUUUAUCGCCGUAGGAUGGGACUGCGGCCUAUCAGUUUGUUGGUGAGGUAAUGGCCCACCAAGACUAUUACAGGUACGGGCUCUGAGAGGAGUAGCCCGGAGAUGGGUACUGAGACACGGACCCAGGCCCUAUGGGGCGCAGCAGGCGAGAAAACUUUGCAAUGUGCGAAAGCACGACAAGGUUAAUCCGAGUGGUUUCUGCUAAAGGAACCUUUUGUCGGUCCUAGAAACACCGAUGAAUAAGGGGUGGGCAAGUUCUGGUGUCAGCCGCCGCGGUAAAACCAGCACCUCAAGUGGUCAGGAUGAUUAUUGGGCCUAAAGCAUCCGUAGCCGGCUCUGUAAG
rnacentral:rRNA from 1 species